UUUGGAAUUACAGCAUGUCAACGUGAGAAAGCCUCUUCAGACGGCUGCCACAAAGAGUAAAUCAAAGGCUGGGUGUCUCUGAAGUCUUAAUAAAUAACUAAGUGUAACUGAAUAAAACCAGGAGCUGUUUGUAUUUUUUUUAAGACAAAACAGAACAGCGUGCAUUUCGUUGCUCUGCAUCAGCUAAGGAAAAAAACCCUCAAUUUUAAUAAGAAUUAGUCAACAGUGAGGAUCAUUAUGAGAAACAGCUUUACUGUUUUUUCGACUACACUUGCUUUAGAGGAUUACUGAGAAAGAACACCAGUCAUUUGGAAGAUUCUGCAACGUUAUUAUCCUUACCAAUAAACUUCUUCAUCAAGAAACUGUUCGUGCUCCUAUCUGGUCUGUCUGAGAGAGGAGAGCAGCCCCUUCAUGAAGAUAAAAGCCUGGCUUGCCACUGAAUCGACAAGUAAGAAGCAUGUCUGAUGACAUUUUAUUCCUGAUGCAAUGUAGGCUAGCUGCCAGAAUACUGGUGAAGGUAUUUGCAGGAAAAAUGGGGACCUCUGCCAUCACAACACUGGAAGAUGUAAAAAGGCAAGAGGAGAAAGAGGAAAAAGAAGAAUCUAUUUUAGCACUGCUUGGGAUUAUUGGAACUGUGCUCAAUUUAUUUGUUAUUGUUUUUGUGUACAUCUACACUACACUUUGAUGACAUUUUUGAAAAUCAAUUGUACAGCACAAAGUGCAAAGACCUGCAAUGGUAAGGAUGAUUUCUAAAUUUAAAGCAAAAAACCCACCAUUCUCUGGAAAGAGUGUCAAAAACAUUCCAGAGUGAAGUGUCUGGCUAAGGGUGCUGCAGCAAUGACUGCAAAGUGCACCUAAGAGCCCAGCUAGGGUGCUAAAUUACGUAAAUGAAGGCAGACCAAAUACAACCUCUCGUUGGUAACAGAUGAAAUCUGAAUAGCAGGAUCAGAGAUGGCCCUGCUUUAUUGCCAGCAAACAUGCAAGACAGAAAUCUAGGCAAACACUGAAAAUAACCAGAACAUAGAAAGGGACAAACUAAAUAUAUAACUAACUAUUAGCAAGUCCCAUGCUUUCUACGGUUUUGUGCAGUAUGUCUCUUCAUAGCUGAGAUCACAAAACAGGCAAAAGGGUAUUUUAUUUUUAGUCCACCAUAAUUUAGGCUUAUAACUUACACUAAUGUAUAAUAAGUGUGGAAACAGGAACACUGUUAUACUAGAAGUUGUAAUAUUAUAAAUAAAAUUUUAACUAUUGACUA